rnacentral:miRNA from 1 species
UUUCGUGAUACCGUUAUCCGGC